CGUAGGGUGCGAGCGUUAUUCGGAAUUACUGGGCGUAAAGCGUGCGCAGGCGGUUUAGUAAGACAGGCGUGAAAUCCCCGGGCUCAACCUGGGAACUGCGCUUGUGACUGCUAAGCUAGAGUACGGCAGAGGGGGGUGGAAUUCCACGUGUAGCAGUGAAAUGCGUAGAGAUGUGGAGGAACACCAAUGGCGAAGGCAGCCCCCUGGGUCGAUACUGACGCUCAUGCACGAAAGCGUGGGUAGCAAACAGGAUUAGAUACCCUGGUAGUCCACGCCCUAAACGAUGUCAACUAGGUGUUGGGAGGGUAAAACCUUUUAGUACCGGAGCUAACGCGUGAAGUUGACCGCCUGGGGAGUACGGCCGCAAGGUUA
rnacentral:rRNA from 1 species